UCCAGACUCCUACGGGAGGCAGCAGUGGGGGAUAUUGCACAAUGGGGGAAACCCUGAUGCAGCGACGCCGCGUGAGUGAAGAAGUAUUUCGGUAUGUAAAGCUCUCUCAGCAGGGAAGAAAAAAGACGGUACCUGACUAAGAAGCCCCGGCUAACUACGUGCCAGCAGCCGCGGUAAUACGUAGGGGGCAAGCGUUAUCCGGAUUUACUGGGUGUAAAGGGAGCGUAGACGGCAUGGCAAGUCAGAUGUGAAAGCCCGGGGCUCAACCCCGGGACUGCAUUUGAAACUGUCAGGCUGGAGUGCAGGAGAGGUAAGUGGAAUUCCUAGUGUAGCGGUGAAAUGCGUAGAUAUUAGGAGGAACACCAGUGGCGAAGGCGGCUUACUGGACUGUAACUGACGUUGAGGCUCGAAAGCGUGGGGAGCAAACAGGAUUAGAUACCCCGGUACGA
rnacentral:rRNA from 1 species